UGGGGAAUUUUGGACAAUGGGGGCAACCCUGAUCCAGCAAUGCCGCGUGAGUGAAGAAGGCCUUCGGGUUGUAAAGCUCUUUUGUCCGGGAAGAAAUCCCAUCCUUGAAUACGGGGUGGGGAUGACGGUACUGGAAGAAUAAGCACCGGCUAACUACGUGCCAGCAGCCGCGGUAAUACGUAGGGUGCAAGCGUUAAUCGGAAUUACUGGGCGUAAAGCGUGCGCAGGCGGUUGUGCAAGACCGAUGUGAAAUCCCCGGGCUUAACCUGGGAACUGCAUUGGUGACUGCACGGCUAGAGUGUGUCAGAGGGGGGCAGAAUUCCACGUGUAGCAGUGAAAUGCGUAGAGAUGUGGAGGAAUACCGAUGGCGAAGGCAGCCCCCUGGGAUAACACUGACGCUCAUGCACGAAAGCGUGGGGAGCGAACAGGAUUAGAUACCCUGGUAGUCCACGCCCUAAAACGAUGUCAACUAGUUGUCGGGGAUUAAUUUCCUUGGUAACGCAGCUAACGCGUNAAGUUGACCGCCUGGGGAGUACGGUCGCAAG
rnacentral:rRNA from 1 species